AUUGAACGCUGGCGGCAGGCCUAACACAUGCAAGUCGAGCGGCAGCGACUUAACUGAACCUUCGGGGAACGUUAAGGGCGGCGAGCGGCGGACGGGUGAGUAAUGCCUGGGAAUAUGCCCUGAUGUGGGGGAUAACUAUUGGAAACGAUAGCUAAUACCGCAUAAUCUCUUCGGAGCAAAGAGGGGGACCUUCGGGCCUCUCGCGUCAGGAUUAGCCCAGGUGGGAUUAGCUUGUUGGUGAGGUAAUGGCUCACCAAGGCAACGAUCCCUAGCUGGUCUGAGAGGAUGAUCAGCCACACUGGAACUGAGACACGGUCCAGACUCCUACGGGAGGCAGCAGUGGGGAAUAUUGCACAAUGGGGGAAACCCUGAUGCAGCCAUGCCGCGUGUGUGAAGAAGGCCUUCGGGUUGUAAAGCACUUUCAGUCGGGAGGAAGGUAGUGUAGUUAACACCUGCACUAUUUGACGUUACCUACAGAAGAAGCACCGGCUAACUCCGUGCCAGCAGCCGCGGUAAUACGGAGGGUGCGAGCGUUAAUCGGAAUUACUGGGCGUAAAGCGCAUGCAGGCGGCCUGUUAAGUCAGAUGUGAAAGCCCGGGGCUUAACCUCGGAAUUGCAUUUGCUGGCAGGCUAGAGUCUUGUAGAGGGGGGUAGAAUUUCAGGUGUAGCGGUGAAAUGCGUAGAGAUCUGAAGGAAUACCAGUGGCGAAAGCGGCCCCCUGGACAAAGACUGACGCUCAGAUGCGAAAGCGUGGGGAGCAAACAGG
rnacentral:rRNA from 1 species